CAGCCCCGCGGUAAUACGUAGGGUGCAAGCGUUAAUCGGAAUUACUGGGCGUAAAGCGUGCGCAGGCGGUUAUAUAAGACAGAUGUGAAAUCCCCGGGCUCAACCUGGGAACUGCAUUUGUGACUGUAUAGCUAGAGUACGGCAGAGGGGGAUGGAAUUCCGCGUGUAGCAGUGAAAUGCGUAGAUAUGCGGAGGAACACCGAUGGCGAAGGCAAUCCCCUGGGCCUGUACUGACGCUCAUGCACGAAAGCGUGGGGAGCAAACAGGAUUAGAUACCCCAGUAGUCCCUGUCUCUUAUACA
rnacentral:rRNA from 1 species